rnacentral:rRNA from 1 species
AAAUUGAAGAGUUUGAUCAUGGCUCAGAUUGAACGCUGGCGGCAGGCCUAACACAUGCAAGUCGAACGGUAACAGGAAGCAGCUUGCUGCUUUGCUGACGAGUGGCGGACGGGUGAGUAAUGUCUGGGAAACUGCCUGAUGGAGGGGGAUAACUACUGGAAACGGUGGCUAAUACCGCAUAAUGUCGCAAGACCAAAGAGGGGGACCUUCGGGCCUCUUGCCAUCAGAUGUGCCCAGAUGGGAUUAGCUUGUUGGUGAGGUAACGGCUCACCAAGGCGACGAUCCCUAGCUGGUCUGAGAGGAUGACCAGCCACACUGGAACUGAGACACGGUCCAGACUCCUACGGGAGGCAGCAG